GAUGAACGCUGGCAGCGUGCCUAAUACAUGCAAGUCGAGCGAACAGAUGAGGAGCUUGCUCCUCUGACGUUAGCGGCGGACGGGUGAGUAACACGUGGAUAACCUACCUAUAAGACUGGGAUAACUUCGGGAAACCGGAGCUAAUACCGGAUAAUAUAUUGAACCGCAUGGUUCAAUAGUGAAAGACGGUUUUGCUGUCACUUAUAGAUGGAUCCGCGCCGCAUUAGCUAGUUGGUAAGGUAACGGCUUACCAAGGCAACGAUGCGUAGCCGACCUGAGAGGGUGAUCGGCCACACUGGAACUGAGACACGGUCCAGACUCCUACGGGAGGCAGCAGUAGGGAAUCUUCCGCAACGGGCGAAAGCCUGACGGAGCAACGCCGCGUGAGUGAUGAAGGUCUUCGGAUCGUAAAACUCUGUUAUUAGGGAAGAACAAAUGUGUAAGUAACUAUGCACGUCUUGACGGUACCUAAUCAGAAAGCCACGGCUAACUACGUG
rnacentral:rRNA from 1 species